rnacentral:rRNA from 1 species
UCCUACGGGAGGCAGCAGUAGGGAAUCUUCCGCAAUGGACGAAAGUCUGACGGAGCAACGCCGCGUGAGUGAUGAAGGCUUUCGGGUCGUAAAACUCUGUUGUUAGGGAAGAACAAGUGCUAGUUGAAUAAGCUGGCACCUUGACGGUACCUAACCAGAAAGCCACGGCUAACUACGUGCCAGCAGCCGCGGUAAUACGUAGGUGGCAAGCGUUAUCCGGAAUUAUUGGGCGUAAAGCGCGCGCAGGUGGUUUCUUAAGUCUGAUGUGAAAGCCCACGGCUCAACCGUGGAGGGUCAUUGGAAACUGGGAGACUUGAGUGCAGAAGAGGAAAGUGGAAUUCCAUGUGUAGCGGUGAAAUGCGUAGAGAUAUGGAGGAACACCAGUGGCGAAGGCGACUUUCUGGUCUGUAACUGACACUGAGGCGCGAAAGCGUGGGGAGCAAACAGAAUUAGAUACCCUGGUAGUCCACGCCGUAAACGAUGAGUGCUAAGUGUUAGAGGGUUUCCGCCCUUUAGUGCUGAAGUUAACGCAUUAAGCACUCCGCCUGGGGAGUACGGCCGCAAGGCUGAAACUCAAAGGAAUUGACGGA